rnacentral:lncRNA from 1 species
UGCUACUAUAUUUUUAUGUGAUUAAUGUAAAGUUGGUGGCAUAUAGUAUAUUUGACACGAUCUAUUUCAAUUCUCCUAUUAAAAGAUUAGAUUUGUCUUCAUUGUAAGAAGUCUCCUAACCAUGCCUUAUUUCUUGAUAAGAAUUGAAGAUUUCUUCUAUUUUGUUUGUUAUACACUUCGGUGGUCUGAUUGCUAUAAUAUUAAUUUGGAGGAGUACAAUUUAGCAAUAAUAUC